CCGAGUUAUACAACUCAUCAACCCUGUGAACAUACCUAUAAACGUUGCCUCGGCGGGAACAGACGGCCCUGUAACAACGGGCCGCCCCCGCCAGAGGACCCCUAACUCUGUUUCUAUAAUGUUUCUUCUGAGUAAACAAGCAAAUAAAUUA
rnacentral:misc_RNA from 1 species